ACAAUGGAGAGUUUGAUCCUGGCUCAGGAUUAACGCUAGCGGCAGGCCUAAUACAUGCAAGUCGUACGGUAACAGGGUAGCAAUACCGCUGACGAGUGGCGCACGGGUGCGUAACACGUAUGCAACCUACCUAUAACUGGGGAAUAGCCUCCCGAAAGGGAGAUUAACACCGCAUAACAUUAUGAAGUGGCAUCACUUUAUAAUUAAAUCUACGGAGGUUAUAGAUGGGCAUGCGUCCGAUUAGCUAGUUGGUGAGGUAAUGG
rnacentral:rRNA from 1 species